AUAAUACAGGGUCAAAAGGUCUAAAAUCCGAUGCAAGCUUGCUUGCAGGAGGAUUUUUGAAGAUUGCGUGAGUGCGAAGCACGGAGCAAUCUGGUAUUAU
rnacentral:sRNA from 1 species